UAAUACGUAGGGUCCGAGCGUUGUCCGGAGUUACUGGGCGUAAAGCGCGCGCAGGCGGCGGUAUAAGCAUGGCGUGAAAGCCCCAGGCUCAACCUGGGAGGGUCGUCGUGGACUGUACCGCUUGAGGGCGAUAGGGGCUGGUGGAAUGCCUGGUGUAGUGGUGAAAUGCGUAGAGAUCAGGCGGAACACCCGUGGCGAAGGCGGCCAGCUGGGUCGUCCCUGACGCUGAGGCGCGAAGGCGUGGGGAGCGAACGGGAUUAGAUACCCCGGUAGUCCACGCAGUAAACGAUGCAGACUAGGCGUGGGGGGAGUUGACCCCCUCCGUGCCGGAGCUAACGCGGGAAGUCUGCCGCCUGGGGAGUACGGCCGCAAGGCUA
rnacentral:rRNA from 1 species